CUUCCGUAGGUGAACCUGCGGAGGGAUCAUUAC
rnacentral:rRNA from 2 species